rnacentral:rRNA from 1 species
UACGUAGGACCCAAGCGUUAUCCGGAAUCACUGGGCGUAAAGCGUGUGUAGGCGGUGUGUUAAGUGAUAUGCGAAAUCUUGUGGCUCAACCAUAUAGACUGUGUAUCAUACUGGCAUACUAGAGGAUGGCAGAGGCAAGUGGAAUUGGCAGUGUAGCAGUGAAAUGCGUAGAUAUUGCCAGGAACACCAAUGGCGAAGGCAGCUUGCUGGGCCAUUUCUGACGCUGAGACACGAAAGCGUGGGGAGCGAACAGG